UACGUAGGGUGCAAGCGUUAAUCGGAAUUACUGGGCGUAAAGCGUGCGCGGGCGGUUCGGAAAGAGAGGUGUGAAAUCCCAGGGCUUAACCUUGGAACUGCACUUCUAACUACCGGGCUAGAGUACGUCAGAGGGGGGUAGAAUUCCACGUGUAGCAGUGAAAUGCGUAGAGAUGUGGAGGAAUACCGAUGGCGAAGGCAGCCCCCUGGGAUGAUACUGACGCUCAUGCACGAAAGCGUGGGGAGCAAACAGG
rnacentral:rRNA from 1 species